rnacentral:rRNA from 1 species
CGGCACGGGUGAGUAACACGUAUGCAACCUGCCUGCCACAGCCGGAUAAUCGGGAGAAAUUCCGUCUAAUACGGCAUAAUGCAUCGACGGGACAUCCUGUUGGUGCCAAAGGUUAAUUCCGGUGGCGGAUGGGCAUGCGGCGCAUUAGGCAGUAGGCGGGGUAACGGCCCACCUAACCGACGAUGCGUAGGGGUUCUGAGAGGAAGGUCCCCCACACUGGUACUGAGACACGGACCAGACUCCUACGGAAGGCAGCAG